AUUGAACGCUGGCGGCAUGCCUUCCCCCUGCACGUCGACCGGUAACGGGCCUUCGGGUGCCGACGAGUGGCGAACGGGUGAGUAAUACAUCGGAACGUGCCCGAUCGUGGGGGAUAACGAGGCGAAAGCUUUGCUAAUACCGCAUACGAUCUACGGAUGAAAGCAGGGGACCGCAAGGCCUUGCGCGGACGGAGCGGCCGAUGGCAGAUUAGGUAGUUGGUGGGAUAAAAGCUUACCAAGCCGACGAUCUGUAGCUGGUCUGAGAGGAUGAUCAGCCACACUGGGACUGAGACACGGCCCAGACUCCUACGGGAGGCAGCAGUGGGGAAUUUUGGACAAUGGGCGCAAGCCUGAUCCAGCCAUGCCGCGUGCAGGAUGAAGGCCUUCGGGUUGUAAACUGCUUUGGUACGGAACGAAAAGCCUUCUUUUAAUACAGGAGGGUCAUGACGGUACCGUAAGAAUAAGCACCGGCUAACUACGUG
rnacentral:rRNA from 1 species